rnacentral:lncRNA from 1 species
GUCCUCUUGGUCAGACUCAGUCCUCGCCUCACUUGGGCCGCGUCCGCCGCGAAGGAGAGGUUCGCUUCCCUCGUGUCCUUUGCAGAUGGCUGAAGCGGGGUUCUUUGCCGCACUUCUCCCGGAAGUUUUUCUGAAAUAGGAAGUCCCUACUGAAAUAGGAAGUUCUCGUUUGCUGGCGUGUUCUCGUGAAGUUUGUUCUUCACUGUUAAGAAGACACUUUUUAAACAUGUUAUUAAAAGCGUCCUCUCGUUGAGGCUUUGCCUGUGGGUUUACAAGUUUGGGUUCGUUAUUUCGGAGAGUUCCCCAGGCGGAGCCGACGGGGCGACGAGGGAGCGGCGGCGGGGACGGCGCCCUCUGCCCUCCUGGGUGGCGGGUGGCGGGUGGCGGCCCGGCUUCCCGGGGUGGUCCCAAGCGCAAGACUUAGAAAAGAGCGACACUCCUUCAACUGUUACUACGAAAUGUGCGACACUCCUUCAACCGUUACUACGAAAUGUGCGACACUCCUUCAACCGUUACUACGGAAUGUGCGACACUCCUUCAACCGUUACUACGAAAUGUGCGACACUCCUUCAACCGUUACUACGAAAUGUGUGACACUCCUUCAACCGUUACUACGAAAUGUGUGACACUCCUUCAACUGUUACUACGAAACCGAAACUUAACAUUUCACUUUCCUGGCUUAAUGGAAGCGAAUACAUCAAGAAUAUUUAUUUUCGUUGAAGAAAGUCCCAGUUUGACGUAUAACAAUGAAGUAACAGGUAUUUUUUUACAAGGAUUAGCAUCUUAGGUGAAAUAGGUUAACCAUAUUAACUUUUCAUAUUAAACCACAAAAUGAAGAGAGGUUUGGUUGUUUGGUUUUGGUUUUGUUCCUAGACUUUGGUCAUUUAUAAUAAAUUCAGAAUUAACUAAAGGUCAAUUAACCCUGAGUUCUUCUUCUUCUUUUUUUUUUUAAGUAUUGCCCAUCUUUAUUUUUUUUAUUUGUUUUAAUUAGUUACACAUGACAGUACAAUGAUCUUGACAUAUCAUAUGUUUGAAUCAGAUGGGGUCUAAUUUCUCAUUUUUCUGAGUGUACAGGUUGCAGAAUCACAUUGGUCAUGCAGUCACGAAUAUACCCACAGCGAUAAUAAUGUCUAUUUUAUUCUGCUGUCCUUCCAUUCCCCUGUUUCCCUCCCCUCCCAUCACUUCUCUCUACACAAUCUAAUGUGACACACUUCUUUUUUUCCCCUCACAUCGUCAUACAUGUAUUCUGUAUAACCAUGAGAGUCUCCUUCCAUCUUCCAUGCAAUUCCCCUUCUCCCUCCCUUUCUCUCCCACCUCUCUUCCUUAUCUAGAGGUAAUCAUCUUCUCAUGCUCUUCCUCCCUAACCCUGAGUUCUUAAUGCUACUUUUUGUUUGCAUUAUUUAUGUUUUCCUUACUUCAGGGUCCAUUUUGCUGGUUUACAUUUUCUAGGAAAUUACAUAAUUUCUGUAGGUUUACAGUUUUAUUGUACGUUUAUUGGAAAUGUUCGUCUCUCCUAUAUUUGUACUUUUAUACAAAAAUAAUUUUCUUUUUCCUACUGGGAUUGAACUCACUGGUGCUUUAUCCCUGAGCCACAUCCCCAGCCUUUUUAUGUUUUAUUUUGAGAAUGGGUCUAGCUAAAUUGAUGAGGCUGGCUUUGAACUUGCCUCAGCCUCCAGAGUUGCUGGGAUUACAGAUGUGUGCCAGCAAACCUGGCUUUUAUACAGUAUUCUUAAUCUUAUCUAUGUUUUUCUUUUCUCUCUUUUCUAUUUUUAGUCAACUGUAGUGUUAAAAUAUGCAUAUUACACUGUUUCAAAUGACAUAAUUGCUAUUUGGCAAUUCUUAUGAUCCACUCAUUGUUAUUGUUUCUUAUCAGUUACUGAUGUGUUUGUGUGUGUGUGUGUGUGUGUGUGAUUACUAACACAAUAACAGUAUUUUUAUCAGUUAUCAUGCUAGUACAAUCAGUACCAAUAACUGAUUUUAUUUUUAUUUAUAUAUAAUGGAAUUUCUAUUAUCAAUAAAUAAGCUCGUGUAUUUAUAUGUAAAUAUACAAACUACUACACACACGUGUGUGUAUGUGUGUAUUACAAUGUGUACAUAUACAUAUAUAUUAUGUAUAUAUAGUAUACACACAUACAUGUACAAUAUUGGUAGCUAGCUAUAUCAUUUACAGGUAUUGUAACCAUUAACUAUUAUAAGCAAGAAGUCAUCAUUUUGAGGAAGGGAAUCUAAAGGCUUUCUAUACCUGCCAUAUUUGUGCAUUGUCAUAUCGAUAGUGAGAAGCAUUAUUAGGUCAUUAUGUUUCUAACUUGUUGAUAAUAUCCCGAGCUAGACCAUGUCCAUUUCUUCUUUAAUUUGAAUAAAGUCAAUAAAGCUUCUUCUAUUUUAUGACAGUGUAGUUAAUGUGAACAUACUUUGUGAUAUUAUACAUUUGCCAACAAUGGGCAAUGGCUGUUGUAGAAAUUUAAAGGUAAAGAAAACUGUGUUAUUUCUGGUUUUGAUAAUUGUAUUUCAGGUUUAACAUGAUUUCCUAGGAGCAUUAUAAAUUUCUUUUGGAUUUUAUUAUACAAAUAAGUCACAUAUCCCUUUUUUAUCAUUAGCUAUAUGACUAGCUAAAUCAAUAUUAUUCAUUCAAUUAAAAUUAGAAGCAUUCUAUUGUUUGUGCCUCCAAAAUAAUAACUCAAAGAGGUAAUAUUUUCCCCACAGAAUAAAACGUCUAAAACCAUUCAAAAUAUCCUUCCAUUUUUUUCUCUGAUUACUUUCUGUAGAGCGUCAUCAAGUAAAUUAUCAAUCUGAGUGCCUUUGGAAUGCUUCUGUUUUAGCAAACAUUUCAGUGAAACAUCAUAUCAUCAUGUCAUGAAUUCUGUUCAUAUUCUCCUAAUCUUUGAAUGUUUUUUCCAGUGGCAAAUAUUUGCAUUACUACAACUAAAAUAUAUACAUGGAAACACAAUAAAGAAUGUUUUGGAAUAAGUGACCCAGUCACAAUGAAGCAAUUCACCAUUGGAGCUUUUUUUAAUAAAGCCAGUAUUUUGAAAAUGUUCAGCCAUGAAGUAAUGUAGAGUAUCUAAAGGCUACACCUUUUCCUGGUGAAAUGUCACUUACUUUUUAGAAUAUGAGC